rnacentral:rRNA from 1 species
UGGGGAAUUUUGGACAAUGGGGGAAACCCUGAUCCAGCCAUCCCGCGUGUGCGAUGAAGGCCUUCGGGUUGUAAAGCACUUUUGGCAGGAAAGAAACGUCAUGGGUUAAUACCCCGUGAAACUGACGGUACCUGCAGAAUAAGCACCGGCUAACUACGUGCCAGCAGCCGCGGUAAUACGUAGGGUGCAAGCGUUAAUCGGAAUUACUGGGCGUAAAGCGUGCGCAGGCGGUUCGGAAAGAAAGAUGUGAAAUCCCAGAGCUCAACUUUGGAACUGCAUUUUUAACUACCGGGCUAGAGUGUGUCAGAGGGGGGUCGAAUUCCGCGUGUAGCAGUGAAAUGCGUAGAUAUGCGGAGGAACACCGAUGGAGAAGGCAGCCUCCUGGGAUAACACUGACGCUCAUGCACGAAAGCGUGGGGAGCAAACAGG